rnacentral:rRNA from 1 species
GUGGGGAAUAUUGGACAAUGGGGGGAACCCUGAUCCAGCCAUGCCGCGUGUGUGAAGAAGGCCUUUUGGUUGUAAAGCACUUUAAGCGAGGAGGAGGCUACUUUGGUUAAUACCUAAAGAUAGUGGACGUUACUCGCAGAAUAAGCACCGGCUAACUCUGUGCCAGCAGCCGCGGUAAUACAGAGGGUGCGAGCGUUAAUCGGAUUUACUGGGCGUAAAGCGCGCGUAGGUGGCCAAUUAAGUCAAAUGUGAAAUCUCCGAGCUUAACUUGGGAAGUGCAUUCGAUACUGGUUGGCUAGAGUAUGGGAGAGGAUGGUAGAAUGCCAGGUGUAGCGGUGAAAUGCGUAGAGAUCUGGAGGAAUACCGAUGGCGAAGGCAGCCAUCUGGCCUAAUACUGACACUGAGGUGCGAAAGCAUGGGGAGCAAACAGGAUUAGAAACCCUGGUAGUCC